UACGAAGGGUGCAAACGUUGCUCGGAAUUAUUGGGCGUAAAGCGCACGUAGGCGGCUUAGCAAGUUGGAUGUGAAAUCCCUCGGCUCAACCAAGGAAGUGCAUCCAAAACUGCUGAGCUUGAGUACUUAAGAGGAUCGCGGAAUUCCCGGUGUAGAGGUGAAAUUCGUAGAUAUCGGGAGGAACACCGGUGGCGAAGGCGGAUCUCUGGGCCGAUACUGACGCUGAGGAGCGAAAGCGUGGGGAGCGAACAGG
rnacentral:rRNA from 1 species